rnacentral:rRNA from 1 species
AUUGAACGCUGGCGGCAUGCCUUACACAUGCAAGUCGAACGGUAACGGGCCUUCGGGUGCCGACGAGUGGCGAACGGGUGAGUAAUAUAUCGGAACGUACCUUUCAGUGGGGGAUAACGUAGCGAAAGUUACGCUAAUACCGCAUAUUCUGUGCGCAGGAAAGCAGGGGACCUUCGGGCCUUGCGCUGAUUGAGCGGCCGAUAUCAGAUUAGCUAGUUGGUGAGGUAAAGGCUCACCAAGGCGACGAUCUGUAGCGGGUCUGAGAGGAUGAUCCGCCACACUGGAACUGAGACACGGUCCAGACUCCUACGGGAGGCAGCAGUGGGGAAUUUUGGACAAUGGGGGCAACCCUGAUCCAGCCAUGCCGCGUGAGUGAAGAAGGCCUUCGGGUUGUAAAGCUCUUUCGGCCGGGAAGAAAUCGCACGGGCUAAUACCCUGUGUGGAUGACGGUACCGGAAUAAGAAGCACCGGCUAACUACGUGCCAGCCGCCGCGGUAAAAC